rnacentral:lncRNA from 10 species
AAAGAAAGUCAAUCACGUUUCUCAGAGAAAAUACCUCUGAGGUGGAGGGAAAGGCCAUUAUGUUCUGCUUAACCCCAUGAUGCCUGCAAACUGAAGAUGUGAUAUUUCAAAGCUUCUGGUCUCACUACUACUUAGAGAUCAUUAGAAGCAGUUGUAGCAACCAGUACUACAAAAGCAGUUCUUCCCACCCCACCUCAAAGUUGGUCAAAAAACACUGUGGAAAGGAAGUUUGCUAUAAAUGUCACAAGUGCAACAGAAACCUGACUUCUGUUGUUACCUACAGCAGACCCCAGACACUGCCACUCAGGGAGAACAGAGAGAAAGGAAAAGAUUGAGGAGAGAUUAAUGUGAGGGAUUUCCUCUUUUGUUUAUUUCUCUUUUGUGAAGUAUGUGGAGAUGUAGCCUCUUUGAGGACUAAUGGGAAGAAAUUAAAAUACAAAAGAAAGUCGAUGGGUGUCUGUGCAAGCUCUUGCAGGAAGCAGGGAAUAACAGAACAAGGGCGUGGCAGAAGGUAUGCUCUUGACAGUGGGUUACAGUCCACUUUUAACUCAGUAUUCCAGAGGCCAAACUACUUAUAAAGUCACAGCUGUCUCUUCGGGAUUUGGCAGUGAUACCAUGGCCUGGUCAUAUGGCACAAAGUUUCUACAGCACCUUUACUCAACUUCUGCCUUGGGGCACAGCCCUCUGGGAACA